rnacentral:rRNA from 1 species
GUACUCCUAACAGCUAGCCCCUCCCCUAAAAAGCAACAAACACCAUUAAUAACCCCCUAAACACUAGUACACCUAGACAACAAAUCAUUUUUCCUCCCUAGUAUGGGCGACAGAAAAG